rnacentral:antisense_RNA from 1 species
UCUACACAGAGAAACUGAAAUCUGGUUAGUCAAGAAGGAAAAAACAGCCAAGUGCCUAGAAUUAAGAGGAUUUUUUUUUUAAGCUCAGCCUACGGACAACAAAAGCAUGGACUGUAUUUCCCAGCAUCUUUCGCAGCUUAUUGUUGAAAGUCCAGUGAGCUACCUCAGGCUUUUCUCUGUGGAAUGACUGUUGCAGAGAACUGCAACUCAGAAGAAUGGAGUUUAAAACUGUGAUGACAUUCUACCUCAUUGAAGAAAUCCUCCAAUGCCAAGGGUGGAUCUCUAAAGAAGGAUUUAAUCCAGGAUCACAUCUUAUAUUUACAAUAACAUGCCUUUUUUCUCCUUCAGUCCGGAACAGUGUCUCAGCCUAUCUUUGUUCUUUAUGACAUUGACAUAUUUUAAAGAAUAAAAGCCAAUUCUUUUGUGCACCAUC